CUCCUCUUGGUGUAGUUGGUUUAUCACGUUCGACUGUAAUGGAAUUCAAUGCCAUCGAAAGGUCCCUAGUUCGAUUCUGGGAGGGGAGA
rnacentral:tRNA from 1 species